AGCGAACGCUGGCGGUAGGCCUAACACAUGCAGGUCGAACGGCAGCACAGUAAGAGCUUGCUCUUACGGGUGGCGAGUGGCGGACGGGUGAGGAAUACAUCGGAAUCUACUUUUUCGUGGGGGAUAACGUAGGGAAACUUACGCUAAUACCGCAUACGACCUACGGGUGAAAGCAGGGGAUCUUCGGACCUUGCGCGAUUGAAUGAGCCGAUGUCGGAUUAGCUAGUUGGCGGGGUAAAGGCCCACCAAGGCGACGAUCCGUAGCUGGUCUGAGAGGAUGAUCAGCCACACUGGAACUGAGACACGGUCCAGACUCCUACGGGAGGCAGCAGUGGGGAAUAUUGGACAAUGGGCGCAAGCCUGAUCCAGCCAUACCGCGUGGGUGAAGAAGGCCUUCGGGUUGUAAAGCCCUUUUGUUGGGAAAGAAAAGCAGCAGGUUAAUACCCCGCUGUUCUGACGGUACCCAAAGAAUAAGCACCGGCUAACUUCGUG
rnacentral:rRNA from 1 species